AUUGAACGCUGGCGGCAUGCCUUACACAUGCAAGUCGAACGGCAGCACGGGAGCAAUCCUGGUGGCGAGUGGCGAACGGGUGAGUAAAGUAUCGGAACGUGCCCAGUCGUGGGGGAUAACGUAGCGAAAGUUACGCUAAUACCGCAUACGAUCUAUGGAUGAAAGCGGGGGAUCGCAAGACCUCGCGCGAUUGGAGCGGCCGAUAUCAGAUUAGGUAGUUGGUGGGGUAAAGGCUCACCAAGCCGACGAUCUGUAGCUGGUCUGAGAGGACGACCAGCCACACUGGGACUGAGACACGGCCCAGACUCCUACGGGAGGCAGCAGUGGGGAAUUUUGGACAAUGGGCGAAAGCCUUAUCCAGCCAUGCCGCGUGCAGGAUGAAGGCCUUCGGGUUGUAAACUGCUUUUGUACGGAACGAAAAGGUUUGGCCUAAUAAGCUGAGCUCAUGACGGUACCGUAAGAAUAAGCACCGGCUAACUACGUGCCAGCCGCCGCCUGUAA
rnacentral:rRNA from 1 species